UACGAAGGGUGCAAGCGUUACUCGGAAUUACUGGGCGUAAAGCGUGCGUAGGCGGUUUGUUAAGUCCGCUGUGAAAUCCCCGAGCUCAACCUGGGAAUUGCAGUGGAUACUGGCAGGCUGGAGUAUGGUAGAGGAAGGUGGAAUUCCCGGUGUAGCGGUGAAAUGCGUAGAGAUCGGGAGGAACACCAGUGGCGAAGGCGGCCUUCUGGACCAAUACUGACGCUCAUGCACGAAAGCGUGGGGAGCAAACAGG
rnacentral:rRNA from 1 species